UUUCUUUUCUUUCUUUCUCUCUUUCUUUUGUUGUUCUUUUUCUCUUUCUUUUUAAUAUGUUACAACUCUCAUAUAAAUUCUUUUGAAAUUCUCCAUUCUUUUUUAGAUGAGAUUCCCAUUAUGAGAAAUGGAAUCUUCUUUGAGAUGAUUGGGCUAUUCCUGUGACUAAACUGCACAGUAUCACCUGCUUCUCAACUCCUUCCCCUCCUCCAGACCUGGCCUUUACAUAGCAUUGAAUAAUCUUCCAUUGCCUGGAUAUGCCAGUUUAUCCACUUACUGAAGGACAUCUUGCUUCCAAGUUUUGGCAACUAUGAAUAAAGCUGCUACAAACUUCAUGUGCAGAUUUUUGUGUGGACAAUGUUUUUUACAUUCAGUCUGAAUAUAGAGCAAAUUUUCUAAAUCAAAUCCUAACAAGCCAAAUAUAAAACACCAAAUCAAAUCAUUUAUCAACAUGCCUGGUAGGGAUUAACCUUCCAGGACACAAUGAAACCCCAAAAACUACAUCACGAUGUUAGGAAUAAAAAACUCUUGAGAGUUCCCCUCGUGACUCAGUGGUUAAUGAAUCUGACUAGAAACCAUGAGGUUGUGGGUUCAAUCCCUGGCCUCCAUCAGUGGGUUAAAGAUCUGGCGUUGCUGUGAGCCAUGGUCUAGGUUGCAGAUGCAGCUCAGAUCUGGCAUUGCUGUGGCUAUGGCAUAGACUGGCGGCUACAGCUCCAAUUAGACUCUGAUGAUUUCAACAAUAUUUACCUUUGUCAUUUCUCUCUUCUCUGCCCCUCCCUUCCUAAUACAUAAGCACGAGUUAGCAUGACACAAUGGAUCAAUGGAUGCUGUGGCCAGGUUGUUCGUGUUUCUGUUU